rnacentral:rRNA from 1 species
UAGGGAAUCUUCCGCAAUGGACGCAAGUCUGACGGAGCAACGCCGCGUGAGUGAAGAGGGUUUUCGGAUCGUAAAACUCUGUUGUUAGAGAAGAACAAGUGCUAGAGUAACUGUUAGCGCCUUGACGGUAUCUAACCAGAAAGUCACGGCUAACUACGUGCCAGCAGCCGCGGUAAUACGUAGGUGGCAAGCGUUGUCCGGAUUUAUUGGGCGUAAAGCGAGCGCAGGCGGUUCCUUAAGUCUGAUGUGAAAGCCCCCGGCUCAACCGGGGAGGGUCAUUGGAAACUGGGGAACUUGAGUGCAGAAGAGGAGAGUGGAAUUCCAUGUGUAGCGGUGAAAUGCGUAGAUAUAUGGAGGAACACCAGUGGCGAAGGCGACUCUCUGGUCUGUAACUGACGCUGAGGCUCGAAAGCGUGGGUAGCAAACAGGAUUAGAUACCCUGGUAGUCCACGCCGUAAACGAUGAGUGCUAAGUGUUGGAGGGUUUCCGCCCUUCAGUGCUGCAGUUAACGCAUUAAGCACUCCGCCUGGGGAGUACGACCGCAAGGUUG